UACGGAGGGUGCAAGCGUUAUCCGGAUUCACUGGGUUUAAAGGGUGCGUAGGCGGGCAUUUAAGUCAGUGGUGAAAUACCUGAGCUUAACUUGGGAACUGCCAUUGAUACUAUUCGUCUUGAAUGUCGUGGAGGUUAGCGGAAUAUGUCAUGUAGCGGUGAAAUGCUUAGAUAUGACAUAGAACACCUAUUGCGAAGGCAGCUAACUACGCGAAUAUUGACGCUGAGGCACGAAAGCGUGGGGAUCAAACAGG
rnacentral:rRNA from 1 species